UACGUAGGCAGCGAGCGUUGUUCGGAAUUACUGGGCGUAAAGAGUGUGUAGGCGGUGCUCUAAGUUUGGUGUGAAAUCUCCCGGCUUAACUGGGAGGGUGCGCCGGAAACUGGAGUGCUCGAGCGUGGGAGAGGAAAGCGGAAUUCCUGGUGUAGCGGUGAAAUGCGUAGAUAUCAGGAGGAACACCUGCGGUGUAGACGGCUUUCUGGACCAUUGCUGACGCUGAGACACGAAAGCGUGGGUAGCAAACAGG
rnacentral:rRNA from 1 species